UGCAGCAUCUUAGGCACAGCACAUCAACAACAAAAAAUCAUCAUCAGAUGGACUAAAAAUCAACUUUUCUUGCAUCGGCAACAAUGGUGUGCGAGUUCAUUCUUGAUUGAAGGAAAAUUUUUGAGGCAAUUAUCUUAUUUUCAGGAAAACAGUAAUGAAGCUGUUGGGUUUUUCCCUUUGUUUAUUCUCAGUGUCUGUUGGAGGUGGGAUCACUGCUGUCAAUGAGAAGAAGGGGACACGACUGACAAAUAGCAUAGAAGAUGAGGAGUCUAUUGAGACAGAGGGCUGUGCUUGGGGCGCUAAAAACCUGUGCACAAAACCGACAUUCACAGAAAGCAAAAAAGCGGCAUCUAAAAAAAUCAUAAAAGAUACCUUCUGCUCUGCUGUCACGUGUAUUAAGGGACAACUUAACAUCAUCUGCAAAUUCGAGCCCUUCAAAGAAUACAUGAAUGGCUUCUGUGACCAACGAAUCGAUUGUGAACUGAGAAGCACAUCACCUACCAUACAAGAACUUAAAUCGAACCUCACAUCAACUAAAAUGUGCAAUAAUCUGACGACGAGCGAUCUGGAUAAGAAGCCUAAUGUUACUGGAGUCUGCUGGUGUGUGAAAGUUGUCGAAGAGGUACCAACUCCAACAGCCCCCCGUAAAUCUAACACCACAUCAACAUCCCUACCAUCUUUAUCAUUAUCAUCACCUCCACUAUCGUCAUCAUCACCAUCAUCACCA